rnacentral:rRNA from 1 species
GACGAACGCUGGCGGCGUGCCUAAUACAUGCAAGUCGAACGCAGUGGGGACGGGUGCUUAACACCUGGGUAACCUCCCAUCAGAGGGGAUAACACUUGGAAACCGGCGCUAACCCGCUACUGAUGGAUGUACCCGCGGUGCAUUAGCUACGUGGUGAGGUAACGGCUCACCAAGGCCACGAUGCAUAGCCGAGCUGAGAGGGUGAUCGGCCACACUGGGACUGAGACACGGCCCAGACUCCUACGGGAGGCAGCAGUAGGGAAUAUUCGACAAUGGACGAAAGUCUGAUCGAGCAACGCCGCGUGAGUGAAGAAGGUUUUCGGGUCGUAAAGCACUGUUAGUGGGGAAGCGGUAUCUGAACAGGAAGCAACGGCUAACUACGUGCCAGCAGCCGCGGUAAUUC